UAGCCGCUUUGAUGAUUGAUGUGCUGGAACGCUCGAUUAUAGGUCCGCUGCAACUCCGGGGGCUAGUGGCAGCAGUGCACACCGCAGUUCGGCUGCAUUUCCUGGGGAAUGCUUGAGCAACGAGCGUUCAAUCACCCGGCGGCGAAUGGACUUCAGGCCAGCAGUCCUCCGGCCGGCGUGCGAUGAUCUUCGCCGACAGGUAGGCGUAUACAGGGAGCAUCGCCAGCGGGCCCAGGAACAUGCCACACGUGAACACGAUUGCCGGCCCAGCCGGCGCCGGAU
rnacentral:misc_RNA from 1 species